rnacentral:lncRNA from 9 species
AAAAAAGAAGAAAAAUUCAUGUGGAUCAGCUCAGGGGCACAUUCCAGUCCUGUGUUCCAUGUGUAACACCAGGAGUCUUCAAGAUGAGAAAAGUGAGGCAAUGCCCAAGAUUGCGGAGCUUCACAGUGGAUGAGGUAACGAGUGUCUUCAAAAAGGAUGAGGCCCAAGAAUUCUGCUAAGAAGAUGAGUGUUGAAACCAAAUAGUCCUGACUGAAAAAAUUUGUGCAAAAGAAACUGCCAGCAACUGCCAUAAAUGGAGGGUUCUAUAAAUGA